AUACGUAGGGGGCGAGCGUUGUCCGGAAUAACUGGGCGUAAAGCGCAUGUAGACGGCAUGAUAAGCCAAAUGUGAAAUGUAGGGGCUCAACCCCUGCACUGCGAUUGGAACUGUCAAGCUUGAGUGCAGGAGAGGCAAAUGGAAUUCCCAGUGUAGCAGUGAAAUGCGUAGAGAUUGGGAGGAACACCAGUGGCGAAGGCGCUUUGCUGGACUGCAAUUGACGUUGAGAUGCGAAAGCUAGGGGAGCAACCGGGAUUAGAUACCCCGGUAUUCCUAGCCGUAAACGAUGGAUACUAGGUGUAGAGGGUAUCGACCCUUUCUGUCCCGCAGCGAACGCAAUAAGUAUCCCGCCUGGGGAGUACGGUCGCAAGACUGAAACUCAAAGGAAUUGACGGGG
rnacentral:rRNA from 1 species